UAGUACUCCAGGAUACUAUUCCAGUUUUCUCCUUUGCAGGUCACUACUGCCCAGCUCAUUCAGCUUCAGCUCUGCCCUGCCCAAAGGGCACCCUGAACCCCCUGGAAGGAGCUCUCUCUCUCAAUGCCUGCCAGUCAUGCCCAGUAGGAAGGUACUGCCCAAGAGAAGGCAGCUGGCAUCCUGGAGGCCUCAGCUCCCCAACGGGAUCCUGUGCAGCUGGAUCCUGUGCAGCUGGAUUCUACUGCCCUUCUAGCCUCAUUUCCUCCAAUUCCACAGAUUCCCUGUGUCCUCAGGGUCAUUUCUGCCCAUCAAGAACAACUCAUCCCAUUCCAUGCCUCCCAGGGCAAUACCAGCCAAACCAGGGCUCAGCCAACUGCCUUCCUUGCCCUCCAGGGUUCUACUGCCCGGAAUAUGGCACAAAAGAGCCCAGGGUGUGCCCAGCACAUGCCUACUGUCCCGCUGGGACGCGGUCACCAUCUCCUUGUCCCCAAGGAACCUUCACUUCCCAAGACACAUCGGGCCUCAAGGAAGAAGGUGACUGUUCUGUCUGUCCCUCUGGUCACUGCUGCAGGGGCGGAAGACUACAUGGAAAAUGUCCCGCUGGUUAUUUCUGCCCAACUGGGAAUUCUGAUCUGAUGCUACCAGGCCCAGGGGAGUCCCUGACCUCAUGCCCUAUGGGACAGCUGUGCUCAAGGAAGUGCCCAACAGGUUUUUACUGUCCUGAGGGCAGUGAAGUGCCAACUCUGUGUCCAGCCCACACUAUAGGGGCUGCCCCUGGUGCCAAGAGUAAAGAAGACUGUGGGCUUUGCCCUCCUGGACGCUGGUGUAAAGCAGGUGACCCAGUAACAUAUCCCUGCCCUGAUGGCCACUACUGUCCUGGAGGGAAUGAGAGCUACCUUGGGGGCCCCCAGGAGUGUCCAGAACACACAUAUCAGCCGGCAUUUGGAGCUCAGAGCAGGGCAGAGUGCCAACCCUGUCCCCCAGGAUACCAUUGC
rnacentral:lncRNA from 1 species